GUGCAGCCGCCGCGGUAAUACGAAGGGGGCUAGCGUUGUUCGGAAUCACUGGGCGUAAAGCGCACGUAGGCGGAUUGUUAAGUCAGGGGUGAAAUCCCGAGGCUCAACCUCGGAACUGCCUUUGAUGCUGGCAAUCUUUGAGUCCGGGAGAGGUGAGUGGAAUUCCGAGUGUAGAGGUGAAAUUCGUAGAUAUUCGGAAGAACACCAGUGGCGAAGGCGGCUCACUGGCUCGAUACUGACGCUGAGGUGCGAAAGUGUGGGGAGCAAACAGGAUUAGAUA
rnacentral:rRNA from 1 species